AAAUUAACAUGUGGCCAAAUUAAAUUAAAUAAUAAUAAAAAAGAACAAGUAUAAUAGAAAAGAAAAAAAAGAGAGAGACUAUAGCUUUAACGAAUGUGAAAACGCAGAAGGAAAGAAAAAGCUCAUUACCGUUCUCACAUAAGCGCUUCUCCAAAGGGAAAAAACGAUUCUCAAAUGCGAUUCUUCCCUACGAUUCACGGUUCUGCGAUAAGGCUUCUUGCAACGACAUGAUGACCAAGUCGCCUGGAUUCAAGCUCGCGACAACAACGACCAUCCACUCAUGAUUCACGCGAACAGACCUAAUCACAACAAAGUUGGAAGAAUUUUACCUGUUGAAGCGAAAAAGAGAAAAAAAUGCAGCUUUCGAUCUUGCUCACAAGGUGUUCAAUGAAAUUCCUCAACCAAUCUUUUGCUUCUUAUUUUGGUUUGUGCUAUUUGCUUCUCUUUCUUGCUUAUAUUGCUUUGUUGUUUUCUUGCUACUUGAAUUCUGAUUUAUUUAUUUUUGUUACUAUUGCUUUGGCUUAUUGAGCUCUUGAAAGGGGUGAUGAUAAUAAAGAUUAAAGAGUGGUGACUAUGAUGAAAUUUGGAGAUUUGUUGAAAGUUGAACGUGGUUGAAUGUUGUGGAUUAAUGGAGUGAAUUAUGGUGAAGAAUUUUGAUUGAGAUAGAGAUGGAUAUAGGUUGUGGAGGUUUGUUCAAGUUUGAAGAUGUUUGGAGAAUGGAGAUUGUUAAAGAUGGUGGUUUGAAGGUGGUUAUAGUGGUGGUUUGAAGAUUGAAAACGAAGUUUAAUUGUGUAGAGGAAAAGAUGAAGAUUGGAGAGAAUGAGGAAAGUGAUGAUGUGGUGAGAAUGAUGAAAAUUAUGAAUUGUGAUUAGCCUUUCAUGGUGAUGAUGAGUGAAAUUUAAAUAAAAUAGAAAUGGAGGGGAAGGUGGUUAGGGUUCAAUUAUUCAUAGCCUUUGGAUUGUAAUCCAUAUGAUAAGUUUAAGAGAGGAUGAGAUUGAAUCUCGAAGUUAGUUGGAGAUUGUAUUAGUUUUAGUGAUUGAGAUUGUUAGAGGUAGUUAUGAUAGUUAGAGAUUUGUUAGAAAGGAGAUGUAAACUAAAAUAUCAUGUAAAUGCAAAUGUGUGACAAAUUCAAAUUGAAAUACAAAUUUGAAAUGUAAAAUGCUAAUUUAGUUAUAAUA